UCCUGGCUCAGAUUGAACGCUGGCGGCAGGCCUAACACAUGCAAGUCGAACGGUAACAGGAAACAGCUUGCUGUUUCGCUGACGAGUGGCGGACGGGUGAGUAAUGUCUGGGAAACUGCCUGAUGGAGGGGGAUAACUACUGGAAACGGUAGCUGAUACCGCAUAACGUCGCAAGACCAAAGAGGGGGACCUUCGGGCCUCUUGCCAUCGGAUGUGCCCAGAUGGGAUUAGCUAGUAGGUGGGGUAACGGCUCACCUAGGCGACGAUCCCUAGCUGGUCUGAGAGGAUGACCAGCCACACUGGAACUGAGACACGGUCCAGACUCCUACGGGAGGCAGCAGUGGGGAAUAUUGCACAAUGGGCGCAAGCCUGAUGCAGCCAUGCCGCGUGUAUGAAGAAGGCCUUCGGGUUGUAAAGUACUUUCAGCGGGGAGGAAGGGAGUAAAGUUAAUACCUUUACUCAUUGACGUUACCCGCAGAAGAAGCACCGGCUAACUCCGUGCCAGCAGCCGCGGUAAUACGGAGGGUGCAAGCGUUAAUCGGAAUUACUGGGCGUAAAGCGCACGCAGGCGGUUUGUUAAGUCAGAUGUGAAAUCCCCGGGCUCAACCUGGGAACUGCAUCUGAUACUGGCAAGCUUGAGUCUCGUAGAGGGGGGUAGAAUUCCAGGUGUAGCGGUGAAAUGCGUAGAGAUCUGGAGGAAUACCGGUGGCGAAGGCGGCCCCCUGGACGAAGAUUGACGCUCAGGUGCGAAAGCGUGGGGAGCAAACAGGAUUAGAUACCCUGGUAGUCCACGCCGUAAACGAUGUCGACUUGGAGGUUGUGCCCUUGAGGCGUGGCUUCCGGAGCUAACGCGUUAAGUCGACCGCCUGGGGAGUACGGCCGCAAGGUUAAAACUCAAAUGAAUUGACGGGGGCCCGCACAAGCGGUGGAGCAUGUGGUUUAAUUCGAUGCAACGCGAAGAACCUUACCUGGUCUUGACAUCCACAGAACCCUGUAGAGAUACGGGGGUGCCUUCGGGAACUGUGAGACAGGUGCUGCAUGGCUGUCGUCAGCUCGUGUUGUGAAAUGUUGGGUUAAGUCCCGCAACGAGCGCAACCCUUAUCCUUUGUUGCCAGCGGUCCGGCCGGGAACUCAAAGGAGACUGCCAGUGAUAAACUGGAGGAAGGUGGGGAUGACGUCAAGUCAUUAUGGCCCUUACGACCAGGGCUACACACGUGCUACAAUGGCGCAUACAAAGAGAAGCGACCUCGCGAGAGCAAGCGGACCUCAUAAAGUGCGUCGUAGUCCGGAUUGGAGUCUGCAACUCGACUCCAUGAAGUCGGAAUCGCUAGUAAUCGUGGAUCAGAAUGCCACGGUGAAUACGUUCCCGGGCCUUGCACUCACCGCCCGUCA
rnacentral:rRNA from 1 species